rnacentral:lncRNA from 1 species
CAUAAAUUAAUCAAAAAAAUUGAUAAUAGUACCUGAAAAAACAAAAUUACUGACAAAAAAAAACCCCAGAAAGGAACUAAGUUCAGAAAUUCAUGAAUGAGAAAUGCUUUUUCUUACGAAGGUCUGGAAAACGAAAAACGCGAAACAUAUCUUUCCUCCCAGUUUUUUCUUCUUAACUUACCUCCCAAUAUUUUUCUUCUUAAAAUCGAUGACAGAGAAAUAGGGAAACGACACUCAACAUCACCAUCUCCCUUGACUGCCAACCUCUGUUCAAUUGUGUGGUUGUGUGAGGCGGUGAAACAACGGCGAUGAGGAAUCAAUUUUUCCGACGAUGGCGAGAGAUGGCGUGAGAUGAACACUGGCCGGCGGUAAAACGGAGAUGGUGGGUAGUUCGCCUGGGAAUGGGUCGAGCAAGGAAACAAAGAAAUGGAUCUUCUGAUUUUG